rnacentral:lncRNA from 1 species
CCAUAGAGAGGUCCUGAGCGUUUCCAGGAGUGCUUCAUUAUAGGACUUGGAGUUUGGUGGGCUGCAGGCAGGUGGUCAUGAAUUUGAAAAAUCAGUGAACAGGCAAAACUUUUAUCACAGGCAAUCGACUUGUGUAAGAUGUUAUAUAAUUAGGUAAAAUAUGAGUUGUCUGCAUAUACCAUAACAUUUCAACUUUAGGCAAAUAAAAGCCUUAAAUUUGCUCACCAGGAGCUGUUUCUCUCUGCUGUCUUUAUGUUGUAACUGCCUGGUUGUCUGAUUCACUGUUCAUUUAUUUCAUUUUCAUUCAUUCAAAGGUAUUUACUGAGUACUGCUUUGUCUUUGAUGCUUAUUAUAAGCGAUGGAUCCAGAAGUAUGUAAGACAAAUUUCCACUUCCCAGAGAGCUUACAUUCUAAUGGGCUAGUGGGGAAGUAAAACAAGAAAGUAUGAUAAAUGAUUUAAAGGGAAAAUAAUCGGACAAAUACAUAUCAUCUUUCAGUACAUAUCCGGCAUGGAGGAGAUGUUUAGAGCAUGGCAAAUUACCCAUUGUCUAAAAAUUGGAAUCCAAUAGCUAUAACACAUCUCCCAGAUGCCAAAAAUCUAAUCACAUCAUCACCAGAAUCCAGAAACUUAGAGACUCUGGAAAGAGAAAGAAUUUCAAUUUGGAUAUUGACAGAAUAUUCUCUUUGCAUUUAUUUUAAACCAAAUUGUUUUCCUCCCAGUUGUGUUUACAUUUCAUAUUUUUAUCAAGCUCUUAUUUUCUUCUGAUAACCCAUUAACUUAAAAGUAGCUCUUAUGAAAUAAUAGUGACUUCUCCAUUAUUGAAUAUCUGUUUUUAAAGUCAUUUAAUCUUCCAAGCAGAAUUUGAUGUGUGAAGUUUUAUGCAGCCAAGAAUAAUUUAUUUGCAAAUAUAGCAAUAGGAUACAAUCAGACAAAUAAAUCGAGCUUUUCCUUCAAAUAAUAUUCCACUGAAAGUUUAAAUGUUUCUAGUCUAUGUUUCAUUAGAAUUUGAAUAGGUAUGUGAGCUACUCAGAAGGUUCUUUGAUAGUGAAAUAUUAUUUUGGAAACAGAACUCUGUAAACAGAGACCCGCCUUUCAGCAUACCAACAUAUUCAAAUGUCCUACUCAUGGUAAAUAUUAUUUGCAAGAUGAUACUGCCUGCAUGAAAGACUGGAGUUCAGAUUAUGAUUUGGGUACUAGGUACUAACUAAUUUGGCAGAUAAAGGUGUAAGGAUGUAUAUAUACUCCCUUACAAUGAUAGUUAAGAAUUUUCACUAUAUUUCAGCAGUGCUACUCAAAAACAUUGUAAUAAACAUUAAAAGUUCAAGGGAAAUUUUAAGGUGAUCUCUAAGGUCAUAACCUUUGUCAUAAUACUUAUAUAGUUGGCUUAAAUGAGAUAGGGGUUUACCUAUUCAGGUGUCAUGGAACUUAGGAGUUUUUUUCUUUUGCAUAGCUGGUCCCUUGGUGGCUGUUACAAGAUUGUCUGUGAUAUAACUUAAUGCAGAAACCCAGGAAGCUGUCAGCUGUCACAGCUGUCACAAGGAGUCUGCGACAAGUCAAAUACUGAAAUUGACAGUUUCUCUAAUUUGGAUACUAAUAUCUAUAUGUGGGGGCCAUGGGUUAUUCAGUGUCCAGAACUUUGAUACACCUCAUGAAUACUGGCAGUGGUACCCAAUUAUCAGUAUAGACCAGGUGUUAAAGUCACUAUUCUUGCUUAUGGUGGUGGUAAGUUUGUGCUAAAUUAGCCUUGUCCUUUUCUCUGAUUCUUUUAGUGACUCUGUGUGGCUGCAAUCAAGAGUGCAGGCUUUGUUUAUUCAAAAAGCUGUUUGAUUUCUGUGGCAGAAGGAUGAAAUUUAGAUCCACAUCUUUGGAUGUUACAGGUGAAAGAUCUAAAGAUGUAAAUUAAGAGGGGCAGAUAAAAAAGCAAAAAAAUAAAUAAAUAAAUAGACAACAAAUAGGAGGCACAGAGACUGAGGAAGAACUUCCCAGGAUGUGGUGUUGAAACAGAUAAAAUCCUCAUUAUUUAUCAGCCUUUCAUGGGUUCCGAUUAUCAUCCAAAUGUCUUAGAAAGAUCUAUUCCCUUCACGGCAACCAAACAGCACAGACACGAGGGUACUUCUCAAAUUUUUUUGCCCAGGAGUCAUCACUGAUACAUCAUUGGAACAAGCAUGACUGUGUUUAUUCACAUGAUUUUCCUAGUGUUGCAAAAGGAUUUAGUAAGCCUAAAUUUAUCAUGAGACUUGCCUUUUUUUCCCUUCAGUCCUCAAUCCUUGGCUUACAGCAGUCAGAUUUUCUCAUUUCCAUCAGUGAGGUAUAUUCUAUUUUGCUUUGACCCAGCCACCUAGAAAAUGUUUAUUUGGUGCCUAUUACAGACCAAGAUCGAGGCCGUCCUUUGAGGACACAAAAAGAUUGAAACCAGAAACUUGUUUUCGGGGAAUCAGGACAAACAGACAAGAAAAUGGUCAUGACAGCAAUGUGAUUAGGAGAAAGUACAAGGAGAUCCUGCUGAAUAGCAUUGAGAACUAUGUCUAGAUACUCAUGUUGCAACAGAAGAAAGGGUGGGGGAAAAACUGUAAUUGUAAUGUAUACAUGUAAGGAUAACCUGACCCCCUUGCUGUACAGUGGGAAAAUAAAAAAAAUAAAAAAAAAAGAAAGAGGACCCUAAAGAUGAUCAGAUCUCCCAGCUCCUCCCUCUUCAACCUCCAUGUGGGUUUCGAAGUCCUUAAAUAUUCAUCAUUACAGCACAUGAUAUUGCCCAGGAGGUAAUUCCCAGCUUGUUUUCCCCUAUUUUCUCUAUUAAACAUAAUUAGGCACCUAAAAUGUGCAUAGCAUUCUACCGGGCUCUAUGAGAGGAAGGUGGGAUAUGUGUUUAUUCUAGGGAGGAAGCUGAUCAUAAAUAUCUCAUAACCCAAAUACUUAUUUAAUCAUUUCUCCAGCGCUAUGCACGAGAGUUACAUGGUGCUCAGGGGACCCAGCCAAAUCUGCGGUCACAGAAUUUCCUUGAGAAGCAAAAUUUUCAAUGAAAUCUCAGGCAUGAUUUGGAAUUUUCUAGACAGAAAAAUGGGGAGGAAGAUGAGUGGCCAGGUUGCUUUUUUGGCAGGAGGGCAGAUUAAAUGAAGGUUUCAAAAUGGAAUGAAGGCCCGUCAGUGUCAGCUGGAGCUCAGCGAUGAAGGUGAAGUGUGGUUCCAGAGGGACUCGUAACAGAGCUGGAAGUGAGGAGCCUGGGGGACCAUUAAAGGUAUUGGAAAAGGGAAGAAGCCAGACUUUUAAAGGUUGGGUGGGUAAUGGGGAACCUAGGAUGAAAUCUCCAAACUGCAUUUAAAAAACAGCCCUCUGGCCGUUGUGUGUAGAUUCGAUCAAAGGAAAAUUCUUUGGGGGCCUUUUACAUAUCAGUCUGGGUCCCUUAAGGCAUCUUGAACAUAUCAAGGACCAGAGCUAUGUCUCAGGCUCUUAUCAGCGGUUCAAAGGGACCCAGCAGUUAGCAGAAGACACCCGUUGGGAGAGAAAUCUUUGGGAAGCUUCAACGAAAUCAUAUUAUUGGCUCAUUGUUUUUGUACUGCUACUCAUUCUCCAGCCUCGCUAUUAUCUGCUUUCAUUUAGAAAGCACUUAGAACUGCUUUUGUAACAGAUAAACCAAAAUACCUCACAGUUCCUACUUUCCCCUAUAAGCAAUUGCAAAUGCAUUCUCUCCAAUGCAGAGCUAGCCUCCAACAUUUAAGACCCCCUCUGGGCAAUGGAUGCAUACGGAGCACGAUGUAACUGCCCAGCGUUGGUCCUUUCUCCCAGCUGCCCAGUGAUGCUCUCAUUCCAGCUGUCUUUAUUGCCAAAUCCUACUCUAAAUUUUAGCUGAGGUAUAUUUGAGGAUGCAAAUUUAUCACACAGGCUCUAAUUAUUGCAGAAAGCCUUACUUAAACAAACAAGUAGUCUCAGCUUGAUUAUUGGACCAAGCUAAUUGGUAUUCUUGAUUCCAGCUUCUACCUCUUCUGAUGCAUCCAACAAAAUAGAAUGGACCAGCUAUCAGAAUCAUGCAGUCAAAUGAAUUGAUGAGCUGUUUUUGUACCUUGCUCCCUUCUUCCAUUUCUUACCUCCUGUGAGGAAAAACUCCCUCUAAGUUGCCUGCUCAGGAUCCCCAAAGGAUUUUCAGUCUCAGCCUCCAGAGACUGCCCUUCUUUCCUUCUUCCCACAGGAGUUGCUUGCUGUGGGUCUCAUGCUCUCCAUCUCUACAUUUCAGGAAGAUUAAAUAGUUGUUUUAAGCUAAGGUGUUAAGAGCUGAUUAUAAUUUAUAAUGCCACCUUCUCAGAAAACACUCGCAUUUUUUAACAUUCACUUUUGGAGUUUUAACAGAGCUUUGAGUCCUAUAGAAAUAUCAAAUACUGUGGCAUGAACAUAAGGGAGGUGCCUUGGAAUAGAAGAAAUGUUCCCAAUGUCUUUCAUAGAAGAGCAUCAUCGAACAUUUGGACAGUGUUUUAAACUUAACAAGGUAUUUUUAUCUUGGUAUUUAAUCCUUUUAACAACCUUGUAGGUGGGUAGAUGAGAGGACUGAAGAAGUAAGAAUAUCUACGUGAUUCCAUCCACAAGACAUUACAGUAAGAUACAAGAUAUUAUCAUGUCUUGAUGGAAUUUAGACUGUGCAAUGAGAAUGUCCUCUUUAGUUAUUUAUAUUCCAAUUCUUACGACAAAAAGAAACAUGAAACAAAGUUACAUGAUAGCCUCGUCAAGGGAAACAGGAGGUAGACUGAGAUGUGGAGAUACGCUGACUCAUGGAAUUAGGAUUCGGAUUAUUAUGGUGAUGAAGUAUAAAGUUACCUUACUGGCUUCCUGCCAGCCAAGUCAAAAAGGGAAACGUGGUGGUUCUCUUAGUCUUACUGUCAGGAAGAAUAGGUGUUGGUAAACGGUGUCAACAUCUUUUGUUUCCUUGGUAUUAAAUUUGGAAAGGUCUUUCUCAUGCAACAUUUCAUGGACUAUAAAUGAUGAAUGAUGAAAUGGGCAAUUGCCAAUGUAGCUGUUACAUGACAAAUCAAGUGUAAUUGGAUACUGGGUCUCUUCAUUCUUGAUUUUAGUGCAGGAUACUUUUUCCAGUUCAGGCAAGGAUUUGUCCCCAUGCCACAUUCCUGCAUUCAUACUGAUGUCUUUUCCCCCUGUUCUGGUGCCUGCUCUUAUUCUACUCACCACCUUAGCAAUGCCAGGACUGGCCUCCUCCUGACAGUUUUUGCAGGCUACCUAUAUGACAGGCUCUUGAAAUCAAAAUAUUCUCUUGGGGCUCUUUUCCCUGUGGGUGUCACAUGGCCCUCCUGCUUUCCUUCUUAGUCUGUAUUUCCCUGUUCUGCGGCUUUCUUUUAAGAGAGGGGAUCCCACUGGAGUGUGACCAUCUCCCUAAUGAUGCAGUUUUUUCAGCAUGUCUGGUCCUCCUCACACCUGCAGGAGCCCCAGGCUUCAUCUACUUCUUUCUCUAACUUUGAACUUCUUUCUCUCUUACAGCCAUUCUCAUAAGAGUUCUAGUUUCUCUAGCUGUCUCUCUGCAUCUAAUAUGUGUCUCAGAUUAAACCUCACUGCAAACAUACUUAAAGUUUAUUCCCAUGAGAGUCUUUUGGACCAAGAGGGGACAUGGCUUUCUAGCAGGGUGUUAUGUAACCUGACAAAGCAGCUAACCUGAGCCUCAGCUCCACCCCAGCUAGGACCUUAUGGCAAAAUGAAGCAGAAGUGGAUUUCAGAAAUUCUACUUCUUGUAGUAAGAUCUGAUAACAGUCUUUAAAGAGCAAUUCAGUGAGUAGUGUUCUGUGGGGCUAAUGUGGUACAAGUACAUGGCCUUCUAGCUUUUAACUUGAUUCAAGGAAUGCCUUGCAGUAGUUGGAGGGGUGAAUGGAUAGUUCUGAAACCAUGCUUACUUUUAGCAGAUGGGAAAAAUCGAUUCUGCAUCUUAUUCCUAGCACAUAGUUGUAAUUGAUGCCGUGUUAACUAUGGAAGAGCAAAGAAAACUUUUUGUUUCCUUGUUAAAAUUCCUACUGGUCAUUUUGUUGAGAAAUUCUAAACAGUGUCUUUCUUAAUAGGUGAUCUCAUUUCCUGCAGCCUGGCUCUUGAUUGAAUGUGGAACAUCUGAGGACAGGGCGAGAUUAAUGGAGGAUGGCUGGUGUUCAUGCUUAGUGGGCAGCUGUGAUGGAUUGGAUGCCACUGGCUGCACUGCACUAGGUUUUCUGGCGAAUCCUGUUUCUGACAAUACAUUGUCCAGAGUAUUGAUUAAACUAACCUCUAGUUGUAAAUUCAUGUCUGGAGUGA